GUGCCCGUGUGUCCGUGUGUCUGUGUAUCUCACCUGUCCGUGUGUCUGUGUGUCCCUGUGCCCGUGUGUCUGUGUCUCACCUGUCCGUGUGUCCCUGUGCCCGUGUGUCUGUGUGUCUGUGUCUCACCUGUCUGUGUGUCCAUGUGUGUCCCUGUCUGUCCGUGUGUCUGUGUGUCCAUGUGUGUCUCACCUGUCCGUGUGUCUGUGUGUCCGUGUGUCCCUGUGCCCGUGUGUCCGUGUGUCUGUGUCUCACCUGUCUGUGUGUGUGUGUGUGUGUGUCUGUGUGUCCGUGUGUCUGUGUAUCUCACCUGUGUGUCUGUGUGUCCAUGUCUGUGUGUCCAUGUCUCACCUGUGUCUCACCUGUCCCCAGGUCCAAGUCCAGGACGGUCCUGAUGAGAACGGGGAGCUGUUCCUGCAGCUCUGUGUGUCCGUCUGUGUCUCACCUGUCCGUGUGUCUGUCCAUAUCUCACCUGUCCAUGUCUCACCUGUCCAUAUCUCACCUGUCCGUGUGUCUGUCCAUGUCUCACCUGUCCAUGUCUCACCUGUCCAUGUCUCACCUGUCCGUGUGUCUGUCCAUAUCUCACCUGUCCGUGUGUCUGUCUAUGUCUCACCUGUGUCUCACCUGUCCAGGUGGAGGUGCAGGAUGGCCCAGAUGAGAACGGGGAGCUGUUCCUGUGUGCGUGUGUGUGUGUCCAUGUCUCAACUGUCUCACCUGCCCAGGUGGAGGUCCAGGACGGCCCUGAUGAGAACGGGGAGCUGUUCCUGUGUGUGUGUGUGUGUGUAUCUCACCUGUCCAUGUCUCACCUGUGUCUCACCUGUGUCUCACCUGUGUCUCACCUGUGUCUCACCUGUGUCACCUGUGUCUCACCUGCCCAGGUGGAGGUCCAGGACGGUCCUGAUGAGAACGGGGAGCUGUUCCUGUGUGUGUGUCCAUGUCUCACCUGUCCAUGUCUCACCUGUGUCUCACCUGUCUCACCUGUCCAGGUGGAGGUCCAGGACGGUCCCGAUGAGAACGGGGAGCUGUUCCUGUGUGUGUGUGUGUCUCACCUGUCUGUAUCUCACCUGUCUCACCUGUGUCACCUGCCCAGGUGGAGGUGCAGGAUGGCCCGGAUGAGAACGGGGAGCUGUUCCUGUGUGUGUGUGUGUGUCCCUGUCUCACCUGUCCAUGUCUCACCUGUGUCUCACCUGUGUCUCACCUGCCCAGGUGGAGGUGCAGGACGGCCCUGAUGAGAACGGGGAGCUGUUCCU
ensembl:lncRNA